rnacentral:rRNA from 1 species
UACUCCUACGGGAGGCAGCAGUGGGGAAUAUUGCACAAUGGGGGAAACCCUGAUGCAGCGACGCCGCGUGAGCGAAGAAGUAUUUCGGUAUGUAAAGCUCUAUCAGCAGGGAAGAAAAUGACGGUACCUGACUAAGAAGCCCCGGCUAACUACGUGCCAGCAGCCGCGGUAAU